UUAAUUUGCUCUUACUUCACAGGGAAAUGAAAAUGGCGAGCUUCUCCUUUUUUCAAGUGUCGACGACGAAUCAACACUUCAAGAAAAGAGUAAUAUUUAAUCUGCUGCUGGUUGAUGCUGGAACACCUCCAAGUCCAACUGUGGUAUCUGAAAAAUAGUCUCAUGCUCAAAACACUGAAAUCAGUAAAAAAAAAAAAAUGGCAACAAGGUAAAUCAUGUAACCGAAGGGAGAUCAGUUAAUGUUUUUU
rnacentral:lncRNA from 1 species